CCGUUAAAACCAAAUGAGAGGUGUUCUGCUGUUACCAGAAUUAAUGAGAAGACUCUAACGGU
rnacentral:tRNA from 1 species